CAGCAGCCACGGUAAUACGGAGGGUGCAAGCGUUAAUCGGAAUUACUGGGCGUAAAGCGUGCGUAGGCGGUUCGUUAAGUCUGUUGUGAAAGCCCCGGGCUCAACCUGGGAAUGGCAAUGGAUACUGGCGAGCUAGAGUGUGUCAGAGGAUGGUGGAAUUCCCGGUGUAGCGGUGAAAUGCGUAGAGAUCGGGAGGAACAUCAGUGGCGAAGGCGGCCAUCUGGGACAACACUGACGCUGAGGCACGAAGGCGUGGGGAGCAAACAGGAUUAGAUACCCCAGUAGUCCCUGUCUCUUAUCA
rnacentral:rRNA from 1 species